CCCGCCACUAUGCCAGUCUGUCGGUGACCUGGUAUAUUCCAGUGGUGAGCUGAGACCAAAACCCAUCUUAGGAAACAGAGUCCUUCUGUGUGUGAAAGACCCUGUGCCGAAAGAUUGGGGACACGA